AAUGCUGUUGUCUGGUUAUGCCAAGAACUUCCUAAGUGCCACUGGGCUUUCAUCAUGAAGACGGGUGGCAAAACCAUCAAAGAAGCUGCUAAAAUUGAACAGCUGUAGAAGUGAAGGCAGAUAACUGAAACAGAGAAGUUCUGUGGAAGGCAGAAGAACACUCACAGAAAGACUGAACAUGAAAUCGAUCCCUCGGUUUGUUCAUAACAAUGAGAAAGAGAUUUCACAUAAUUCUGCUCAACAUACAAAUACUGAAGACGAAUGUAAAAGUAUUAACGUUAACAAAAAUGGGAUAAAAUACUCUUAUACCUACAAAGCCCUUUUCAACAUGGAUUGCCUUUUCUGGGAAAAACAGACUUGAGUGUCUUGUGGAUAAAUGGACCAGUUUUCCCCAUAUACAGCCAGUCCAUUCAUUCCUAGGCAUAGUGUAUGUAAUCUACUCGCCAGCUGCUCUGUGAAAACACAUACCUACGAGUCUUCGUUGGGGCGGAAG